rnacentral:rRNA from 1 species
GACGAACGCUGGCGGCGUGCUUAACACAUGCAAGUCGAACGGAAAGGCCCUGCUUUUGUGGGGUGCUCGAGUGGCGAACGGGUGAGUAACACGUGAGUAACCUGCCCUUGACUUUGGGAUAACUUCAGGAAACUGGGGCUAAUACCGGAUAGGAGCUCCUGCUGCAUGGUGGGGGUUGGAAAGUUUCGGCGGUUGGGGAUGGACUCGCGGCUUAUCAGCUUGUUGGUGGGGUAGUGGCUUACCAAGGCUUUGACGGGUAGCCGGCCUGAGAGGGUGACCGGCCACAUUGGGACUGAGAUACGGCCCAGACUCCUACGGGAGGCAGCAGUGGGGAAUAUUGCACAAUGGGCGGAAGCCUGAUGCAGCAACGCCGCGUGCGGGAUGACGGCCUUCGGGUUGUAAACCGCUUUCGACUGUGACGAGGCGUGAGUGACGGUAAUGGGUAAAGAAGCACCGGCUAACUACGUG